AUUGAACGCUGGCGGCAUGCUUUACACAUGCAAGUCGAACGGCAGCGCGGGCUUCGGCCUGGCGGCGGGUGGCGAACGGGUGAGUAAUACAUCGGAACGUGCCCAGUAGUGGGGGAUAGCUCGGCGAAAGCCGGAUUAAUACCGCAUACGACCUGAGGGUGAAAGCGGGGGAUCUUCGGACCUCGCGCUAUUGGAGCGGCCGAUGGCAGAAUAGCUAGUUGGUGGGGUAAAGGCCUACCAAGGCGACGAUCUGUAGCUGGUCUGAGAGGACGACCAGCCACACUGGGACUGAGACACGGCCCAGACUCCUACGGGAGGCAGCAGUGGGGAAUUUUGGACAAUGGGCGAAAGCCUGAUCCAGCAAUGCCGCGUGUGUGAUGAAGGCCUUCGGGUUGUAAAGCACUUUUGGCGGGAACGAAAAGGACUGUGCCAAUACCACGGUUCGAUGACGGUACCCGCAGAAUAAGCACCGGCUAACUACGUG
rnacentral:rRNA from 1 species